rnacentral:lncRNA from 1 species
UCUCUCCCUCUUUACUACAAAAAAUCUUUUAUCUUUCCUCUUUUGAUAAAAAAUUAAUUUAGAAUGAAUAAGUUAUGAUUAUUUAAAGUUUUAAAAUAUAGUAUUUUGUUCUUUCCUCUCUAUUUUAAUGAGUGUUAAUUUUCUCUUUAAUGACAUGUUUACUUUUUUCUAUUAUAUUAAUUUAAUUAUUUUUCUUUUUUUCUUUUUUGUAUUUUUAGAUAAAAAUAAGUAAAUAUCACGUGUUUGUGUUUACAUAUAUUUUUUAAAUUAUAAUAGUUUAAAUGUAAUAGAGGUGAAGGAAUAUAUAUUGGUUCAUUUUAUAACUCUUUUUUAAAAAUAAUUUUUUUGUAUUAAUGUUAAUAUAACUUUGUAGAUGAAAUUAGUAUAUAUAUUAAAAAAUAUAAUUUCAAAUAUUUUUUUAUAUUUGUGAAUUAUUUAUUUAUUAUGAUGCAUCAUACUUUAUAAUUAUAAUAAAGUAUAAUGCUAAUUUUCAUUAUCAAAUAAUUAU